GGGCCCGCACAAGCGGUGGAGCAUGUGGUUUAAUUCGAUGAUACGCGAGGAACCUUACCAGGGCUUAAAUGUAAGUUGCAUGGAUCAGAGAUGAUCCUUUCUUCGGACUACUUACAAGGUGCUGCAUGGUUGUCGUCAGCUCGUGCCGUGAGGUGUCAGGUUAAGUCCUAUAACGAGCGCAACCCCUAUCGUUAGUUGCCAGCGGGUAAUGCCGGGUACUCUAGCGAGACUGCCAGUGCAAAACUGUGAGGAAGGUGGGGAUGACGUCAAAUCAUCACGGCCCUUACGUCCUGGGCUACACACGUGCUACAAUGGCCGGUACAGAGAGCAGCCACUUCGCGAGAAGGAGCGAA
rnacentral:rRNA from 1 species